CGUUUUGUUAGAAAGUAAUUAGGAUUUCGUUUUUAAAGAAUUCCUUACUCCUGCAUUAUAGAAAGCAUUGGUUAGCUUUUUGAGAUUGUAAAACGCCCUCUUGUUGCACGCGUGCUGCAACAUUGUGCGUCUCUUGGUUGCGCGCAUGAGCUACGCGUGCUGCCUGCUGCCAGCUUGUUGUACGUGCGUUCAUGCGUUUGUCGCCGCGCAUGUCACAUAACGCGUAGCGUCUCUCGUCUGUAUACACUGCCAGCUGGAACUCGGCGGCAUUGCUAGUGUACUGUCGUUCGAAUAUCUUUCUUAAAUAAACGUUCAAAAAGACAGAAAAGAUCCUUUUUCACUGAUUUAUGAAAGUUGUUUUCUCGCCUACAGUUCUAAGCAUCGUGAUUAAAGGCACGCGAUAUUAUGAUCUACAAGAUUAAGCAGCAGUUUUCGUGUCACAGGAGGAUGCUAUUUUUGAUAUUUUCGCGUUACGAGACAUUUGACAAAUUUAUGGUGAACAGUUUUGUGUGAUCAGUAAGUAACAUUAAGAUACCGGCAAUAUGUUUAGUUUUCAUAAACCUAAAGUUUAUCGAUCCAGUACUGGAUGUUGUAUUUGCAAAGCUAAAUCAAGCAGUUCAAGAUUUACAGACAGCAAAAAGUAUGAAGAUGAUUUUAUGGAAUGUUUUCAAUUAGAAGAAAGACGUACUGGAGAGAUUUGUAAUGCUUGUGUGUUGUUAGUAAAGAGAUGGAAAAAGUUACCAGCUGGAAGUAAUCGCAAUUGGAGACAUGUUGUAGAUGCUCGUGCAGGGCCUGGUAUUAAAUCAUUAACAAAAUUUAAAUCAAAAAAUAAAAAGAAACUUAAAGAUGCACCUGAAAAAUUCGAAAAGAUAAUGAAGAAAAAGAAUAUAUAUAUAAAAUCAGAGACAGAACGCGAACAAAGUCCCGCAAUGAGUGAUGAUUUGAUUGAAGAUUAUGUGCCAGAAAAUAGUAGCAAAUGUUCUAGUAGAACAGUUAGUCCUACUGGUAGUGAUGACAUUAAUACAGUUGAUAAACCUUUAGAUAUUGCACAAGAGGAUUCUGAUAUAAAAAAUGAUUUAACUGUUAAUGGCUUUAUUGACUUAUCUUAUUUCAAAAGGGAAAUUAUUUGCUGUGGUACAAUAUUCAAAGGUCCAUAUGGAGAAGUUAUAAUAGAUCCAGCAUUGAUAAAACCAUGUACAGGUUGUCUAUCUAAGCAAAGACAGCAACAAUCAAAUGUGUUAAGAAAUAGUCCAGUACAUAGUUCAGCAUCGGCGAGUCCUGUUCAUAGUUCUGCAUCUGCUAGUCCUACCCACAGCGUAGAAUCAGGUGUAGAUUCAGCGGUGACAAAACAAACAAGUAAAACAUUCAGUGAUUCGUCUUCUGAUUCUGGUUAUGACGAAUCUUCUAAUCAAGGGGUUGGUGAGGGUAAAAUUACUAAAGUAAUUAUGAAUGUUAAUCCCAACCUCAAACCGAUUGUUAAAACACAACCGAUAAAGAGUGUGCAGUUAAAAGCUAUCCCUGUUGUGUCGGAAUCUGUCAGGUUAAAGUCAGAUGUGCCAAUAAAAUUGGUGCCUAUAAAACAAAUAGACCAACUUUCUUGUAGAUAUAUAUGUUAUGACACAAACUUAUUUUUUAAACAUGCUACCAUCAUUGCCCAGACAACAAAGGCUAUGGAAGGAUGUGUUUAAAACUUUAUAUUAAAUACAAUUGAAGAGUUUAUAAUGUUAUGAAUGGGGAUAACUGAUUUCUUAACUAGGCUUCAGUUUUCUGGGCCAAUCUUUGCAAUCGUAUAUGUGAAUACUUAUGUGGAUGUCCCAAAAUGCCAAUCAAUCUUUAAAUGUUCGGGUCCAAAAAUUCUGAAAAGUAAUUCAUAUUAACUAGGAUCUAAUGUUGACAUUGUACCAGAUGCAUUUGAAACUGUCUGUGCAAAACUCCAUGACGUUAAAAUUAAGGAAUCCAAUGAUGUGUUCAGGUAAUAUUAUCCUGAUCCACUUAGAGCAAUAAUAUACAAAUUAAAUUUUUAAUAAAAUAUCUGAAGUUUGAUAAACUUAUCAUAUCACUAUGAUGAUAUAUUUAGGCAGUAUUACUAGGGACGAAAAUUGGUUAAGAAUAUGGCAAUCAGAUUGGCGAACUGGACCAGCAAAUUUAAUUAAGAUAUUUUGAGAUGAGCAAUGAAGACACAAAAUAGGAAUGGGCUGAAUCAAUUUGAUACGAAAUUUAAGUAUAAUAAUAAAUAAGUAAAGGCUGGUAGUUCCUAGAUUUCAGAAAUGGACACGUUACAGAAAGAUAACACAAACUAAUGUACCUGUUGAAAACAGAUUAUUGUGAUUAUUCUCCAGAUCUUAUUUGAAUCAUACAUGUUUCAUGCACAAAAAAUUUUCUGAUAAGAGAUAUGUAUUUUAUUAGGAAAGUCCAUGUACGAUCGCAAAAGGCUUUCUUAUUUCUUUUUUAAUAUCCUUUUGAAUUUUUAAUUAAAAACUUAUAUUAAAAAAUAUCUCUCAAUCUACAGAACUCUUAUUUAAGAUAGCAGUGCAUUUUAUAAUACAUACAUAAACGAUUUUGCAUUUUCAUAGAUAUUUUUAAUGAACUUUAAAACUUGGUCCACAUGGACGAGGGCUGAGCAUUUUAUAUGUGCAAUAUAUAUUGCUAAUUUUGUCUAGAUUCAAGUAUGUUACUAAAUUUUAAUAUAACUGGCUGAUAGCAACCUUUUGAAUCUGAUAACAACUAUUAGAAAUAUAAAUAAAGUUUGUGAAAUUUAUGAUCUACUAUCAUACUUUAAGUCCAUUUGACAAGAAAUAAAAAGCAUGGUUCAACUCUUUUCCAUCUAGGUAAGUUGUUCAGAAAAUGAACUCUACACAGGUUAUCUUAUUGUAUUGCAUUCACAUAUAUUCUUAUGUGUUGUACAUAUGAAAUAUAAGCAAAAGAUGAGAACCUUAGAUUAAAUAAUUUCGAUCAAUGAGAUACUCAUGCCAGCAACUACUAGAAAAGAAAAGAGUUAAUAUACAAAUUUUUAUAUAAUAUUAUGCACUGCCCAUCUGGCUUAAGUGAAUUUACUAUGAAUAAGGAAAAAAGAUUAUUUGUAUGAAGAUAAAUAUUGAAUAUAUAUGAUUUGUUAAAAGACGAUGUAAGAAGCUUGCCUUGCCUUUUGACAAAUUUUCAUUAUACAUUUAUAUUGACUAGGAGAGUCUAUGAUCUCUUUAUUGUGAAUAUUAAUUUCCCCUGUAACUAACAUUAUAAUUUACGAUUUAUAAUAGUGAAAAGGACGGAUCAUAUUGGUUAAAUAAAAUGAAAAAUCUUGAUAUCACACUAUGGAAUUAUGUUUAUAAUUUAUUCAUAAUAAAAACUAAUUAUUCAUAUAAGUAUUCUAUAAAAAUCGUACACUUCAUAUUAUCAUUAAUUAUUUAUCAAAUCUUUAAUUUGUGCAAUGAUCCUUCCUUCUAGAGAGAAAAAAAUAAUUGUUUAAUUUAUUUAUUUUUUAAGUCAAAUUUAUUGCAAUAUAAUAUUCUUUGCUAUACAAAAUUAUAUAUUUUUAUACAGAUUAUCUUUGCUUUUUAUGCUACAUUUUUUGUGUGUAUAUUGAUAGAAAAGAAAAUAUUAAUUAUCACAUUUUCCAGGUCAAUCUGUUCGCAAUAUUCUAGGAAUUAUUUAUUUUUGAUUAUCUUGUAAAUUGAAAUUAAUAAUUCAUUAUUUUCUAAGAAAACUAUACUUAUAUAUAUAUAUAAGAGAGAGAGAGAGUCAUGGAUUAAUGGAUACCAGAAUAGUUAAGUUGAGUAGCAUGUGUUCGAAGAAAUAUGAUUGGGUGAUACAUACGAUAUAUUAUAUAUUUAAAAGCGUGUUUUUGAAAAGAGAAAAUGUUAAACCAAAAGUUUAUUGAUGAACAUUAUGCAGAAUUUAGAGGAGUCCAUUUUAUGUGCUGCUAACUAUUAUUGUCACAUAAUAAAAUGAUAUUUCUCAUGAAUAUGAAGAUAAAUUCAGUAUAUGCAUAUACUUUAACAGCAAUUUGAUUCAUUUCAAAAUAAUUGAUUAAACAUUACUAUAAAAUUUCUUUAGAACAAUCUACAAUGAAACAGGACAGAUGACAAGGUUGUGCUUAUAUAAUAUUAAGUCUAAGAUUUAAUCAGAUAUUUAUAUUAUCCUUAUGUCAAAGAAAUAUGUGUGCAUUUUUAUUCUAAUUAAUCGAAACCAAUGUUUAUACUAUAAUUAAGAUUUUUAUCAUAUAAAAACAGCAAUAUGAUUUAUAUUAAUGAUAUUGAUAGUAUAAUUGUAUGUGUAUUAAUUUUGGCAAAAUAUGCUAAACAAAUCCUUAAUCAUAUUUUUCACAUUGUAGCCAUUGAUAAAAUGUCUACAAAUAUGACUGAUGUAAGGAGUUCAAAUAUUCUCUCUCAUGGUGUGACCUGGCAGAUUCCAAACAAGUACCUUUUAUCAAGAAUCAUGCAAGAUUGUAAUUUUUUAAAUUAACUGCCAUAUCAGGUUUCUAAAAUUUUCAAAGAUAAAAGAGAUUUUGAUAACAAUUUUAAAAUAUUAUAAUUAAUCCUAUAUAUAUGAUAAAAAUCUCUAAUAGACUGAUAGUUUAGAAACCUGAUUUAAAAUAAUAUUAAUAAUUAGAAUAUGUAAAAGAGAUUUUGCAUAAAUCUUGCAAGUUUCUACUAUGAAUCAAUUACCCUAAUGCACUAUGAUAUUAAAUAUAAUGUUUACUUAGAAUAACGUGGUGCAACUAGAAAACAUACAAAAUUUUCUCUAUCUUGCUUACAAAUUUAUAUAUAUAUAUAUGUAUAUACAUAUAAAUACGCAUACACACAAACACAUACACAUAUAUAUACAUAUACUUAAGAUCAGUGUUCGUCCUUCUGAUUCUUGUUAUUAAAGAAACAGGUUUUUCAUAAUAUGCAUUUAUAUUACGAACGAAUUGUCUUUUAUAUUAGAUGAGGAAGUGGAUAUAGAAUUUUUUGAAUACAUUAUGGCAGGGAUGAAUAUGUAUGUAAAUAUAUGCUAGGAGGCAUUCGAUCUCGCAAGAUGUUCUAGUUAUACGAUGACUUUUUCAUCAUUGUGCUACUUGUUAACAUCAGAAAACAUCAAUAUUAAGUACGAUUCUGAGACUGAUCGAUGUAUUUAGCAGAUAACUCUAAUUUACACAAAACUGUUAGAUGUAGGUAAAUAUUGUAACAUUUAUGAAUAUGCUAUGAAAUUCUAAUAAUAACAGACAAUGACUGCCGUAAUUAAUAUUCCAUAAUUACAAUGAUUAUUCUGUUUAUAUAAUGAUUAUUAUAUAUUUGUGUGUGUAUGUGUAUAUAUAUAUAUAUAUAUAUAUAUACGCGCGCGCACACACACAUACACACAUAAAUAAUAUAUAAUUAAUCAAUUGAUUACAAUCAUAAAAGUAUCUUUGCAAUUGCUACUCUCAUUGAUUUUAUGAUAAAAAGUGUAUAUAAUUGAAAAAAUUAUGGUUACGUAUGUAUAUAUAUAUAUAUAUAUAUAUAUAUAUAUAUAUACAUACACACACACACACACACAAACACACACACAGAUACUUAGAUCAUGUACAAGAUUGUAAUAAAAAGAUUAUUUGUAAGAAUUCAUCGAUCAUACAAAUUAGAAUAAUAAUAAUAAUAAUAAUAAUAAUAAUAAUAAUAAUAAUAAUAAUAAUGAUAAUAAUAAUAAUAAUGAUAAUAAUAAUAUGAUUAAUGCAAAGUAACAUUGUGCCGAUAUGCUUGUCGACAUACAUUACCCAAACUCAAAUUUGUGUCAAUUAGUCUCAUUGCAACAAGAUUUAAAUGUUAAGAACCAUAUUCUUAGUAUUGUAGAUAUGUUGUAAAAAUAAGUACAUAUUUUGUUUUUUAACAAAAUCGACAAAUCAGUAAGUUUCUUAUUAAAGUAAUGAAUUUGUAUUAUAUAGAUGAAUAUAUAUAUAUGUAUAUAUAUAUGUAUAUAUAUAUGUAUAUAUAUAUGUAUAUAUAUAUGUAUAUAUAUAUGUAUAUAUAUAUAUAUGUAUAUAUAUGUAUAUAUAUGUAUAUAUAUGUAAGAAGUCUGUGAGAU